rnacentral:rRNA from 1 species
UAGGGAAUCUUCCACAAUGGGCGCAAGCCUGAUGGAGCAACACCGCGUGAGUGAAGAAGAGUUUCGGCUCGUAAAGCUCUGUUGUUAAAGAAGAACACGUAUGAGAGUAACUGUUCAUACGUUGACGGUAUUUAACCAGAAAGUCACGGCUAACUACGUGCCAG